GGAGCGGUGGAAGAAGGAAGAAGAGGUGGGCGAAAGCGGCCAGAAGGAGCCAGCGGCUGCAGCCAGGCUCCCGAGACAUCUUGGAAACGGCCGCAGAGGCGCACGGCGAGCGGGUGAAUCCUCCAGAUGCUGACAAAUCACCACAACAUCUGACCUCCACUGCCAGAAUUAAACUACUGACCUUAGAGGAACAGUCAAAGGGGGACUGAAGAGAAAGGGAAAACAGGACACAAGCGUGAGCAGCCACAGAUUGUGAUUUGCAUUACACAACAAUUUCUUGUUGCUGACAUUCUGAUUCACUGGCCUAAAAAUAAUCAUUCUGUUGCAAAUUAAGCAGAAACUUUCAUACUGUGUUUCUCUCUGAUUUUAUGUGCAUGUGCAUUACCAGAAAAAAAGUGUUCAGUAAUCCUUUCAUUUCUAUACCUGUCACACAAUAAAAGGUGUGAAUCCUUCUGAAUAUCAUGUGUAUCAAAUGUAUCAUAUUGUUUUUCCUUAUAAAUUUCACGAAUGUUUCCUGGCCUUUCUCCUAUUUCUUUACUCUGCGGUGGUUUCUACAAGUAUACACAUACUUUAUAAUCAAAGAUCAUGCCCACAGAAGUUGGGCUAAACUUGAAACUUCUCACUUUACAAUGAUUAAGAUAUACCUAU